CGUUUGACUCUCCAGCCUUGCACCUGCCUGGCGCCGGCGGACAAAGUUCCCUCAAGCCCGUCCCGAUGGCGGGGAACAGCCGAGCCCUCGUAGCAAGAACAGUAUUAUGGAAAGCUGGUAACCUGCAACCUUAUGGUUGUGCUCAGCGGUGAAAUGCAUUUACCUUCGCUACUGGUUUGGAAAUAAACUCCGAAAAAACCUUUUCCUGAUCCGAGAAGAGCGCCCAGGAUAGGACAGGGAUUAAAGAAUCAAAACAAAGCGAGACAUCUGGGUGAGCUGUGCCCACCCCUACAUUCCUCACACAGUCUCAACUCAACCUAAUGUCGAUGAAGAAAUUCCCAAACAAACUUCAUUGGAGUCCUAGUAUCUAAUGGAUUAGCAGUGAUCUUCAUAGAUUGCUCACACCUGCAGUUCUGACUACUCCCCUCUUCUACUUUGUUCAAUCAGCCAUACCUUGGUAAGUCCAUCAGCUUCCAGACUGACAUGCAAAGCAAGACCCACCUGACAGCUCAAGAUCUGACACCUGGGCGGAAGGGGAAAAUGUGUGUAUGUGUGUGUGUUUGGGGGGAAGACGGUGGACUUACUCAAUCAAAACUCCUGGGAGAGGUACCAAGAACAACAAGGGGAAGGAUGGAGUGUGAUGCGUAAGUCGGAAGAAGGAAAUAAGUAGCCCUGGAAGUGACUCAUGCAAGCAUUCAGAAAACAAAAUAUAUGUGGUGGACUUGUGCUAAAACAAAACAAAACAAAAAUGGGCAAAAAUACAUAGAUGGCUAGAAAAGAUAAUAGGGAAACUGGUAGAUUUUGAACCUGAACUGUUUUUAUUAGAGAUGAUAUCAGAAAAAUUUGGCAAGAGAAGUAUGUAUUGAGUACUACAUGUACUACAUGUUCUAACAGCAGCGAGGAUGAUCUUCGCACAAUAUUUGGAAAGAUGAAGAAACAACCUCAAGAUGGAGAGAUAAUUAAGAAGAUAUUAGACAUUAGUGCAGAAAUGGACAGACUUACACUGAAAAUCAAAUAGAAAGAAGACACCGAAUAUGAUCAAACGUGGAAUUUAUUUUACCAGUGGUUGGAAAAAAAGGGGUGGAGAGUAAGAAUGGCAUGUGUAUGGUUAAGCAAAUUAAAUAUUUGUAAACACACAAUGUUUAUUUAGCGCUAAGGAAUGUGUUUAAUAAAAAAGGAUGCUUAGUAGCUAAGACGCUGAGCUUGUCGAUCGAAAGGUCGGUAGUUCAGUGGUUCGAAUCCCUAGUGCGGUGUAAUGGGGUGAGCUCCCGUUACUUGUCCCAGCUUCUGCAAACCUAGCAGUUCGAAAGCACGUAAAAAUGCAAGUAGUAAAAUAGGGACCACCUUUGGUGGGAAGGUAACAGCGUUCCAUGCACCUUUGGCGUUGAGUCAUGCCGGCCACAUGACCACAGAGACAUCUUUGGACAGUGCUGGCUCUUCAGCUUUGAAACGGAGAUGAGCACCACCCCCUAGAGUCGGGAAUGACUAGCAUGUAUGUGCGAGGGGAACCUUUACCUUUACCUUUAAUGUAUUUAAUAGAAAAUUAAUAAAACAUUUUUAAAAAGAAAGAAAACCAAAAAAAAAAGGUUUGUGACCUUUGAGGAAACCUGGCUGUGCAAUGUAUUUUUUUAAUUUGUCCCGAACAUGAUCCAGAGACACUGUAAACCAGGGGUGUCAAACUUGACUUCAUUGAGGGACACAUCAGGGUUGUGUUUGACAGGGGAUAGACUCUGGAGCCUGGAGAGGGCAAAAACCGCACACACACCCCGGUGCAGGCGGCUGACUAGGGCACACCCACCAUGGCCAAACCCACCGAGCAACAGGGCAGCAAACCCGUUGCUAAAGGAUCU